rnacentral:rRNA from 1 species
GAUGAACGCUAGCGGCAGGCUUAAUACAUGCAAGUCGAACGGGAUUCGAGGUAGCAAUACUUUGAUGAGAGUGGCGCACGGGUGCGUAACGCGUAUGCAACCUACCUUUAACAGGUGAAUAGCCCCGAGAAAUCGGGAUUAAUACACCGUAACAUUGCGCUGUGGCAUCACUGUGCAAUUAAAGAUUUAUCGGUUAAAGAUGGGCAUGCGUGACAUUAGCUAGUUGGUGAGGUAACGGCUCACCAAGGCAACGAUGUCUAGGGGUCCUGAGAGGGUUAUCCCCCANACUGGUACUGAGACACGGACCAGACUCCUACGGGAGGCAGCAGUAAGGAAUAUUGGUCAAUGGGCGCAAGCCUGAACCAGCCAUGCCGCGUGCAGGAAGACGGCCCUAUGGGUUGUAAACUGCUUUUGUCAGGGAAUAAACCUGUCUACGAGUAGACAGCUGAAGGUACCUGAAGAAUAAGCAUCGGCUAACUCCGUGCCAG